rnacentral:rRNA from 1 species
UUUAAUGAGAGUUUGAUCCUGGCUCAGGACGAACGCUGGCGGCGUGCCUAAUACAUGCAAGUAGAACGCUGAUGUUUGGUGUUUACACUAGACUGAUGAGUUGCGAACGGGUGAGUAACGCGUAGGUAACCUGCCUCAUAGCGGGGGAUAACUAUUGGAAACGAUAGCUAAUACCGCAUAAGAGUGAUUAACACAUGUUAGUUAUUUAAAAGGAGCAAUUGCUUCACU